UACGUAGGGGGGCUAGCGUUGUCCGGAAUCAUUGGGCGUAAAGCGCGUGUAGGCGGUCCGGUAAGUCCGCUGUGAAAGUCGGGGGGCUCAACCCUUGAAUGCCGGCGGAUACUGUCGGGCUAGAGUCCGGAAGAGGCGAGUGGAAUUCCUGGUGUAGCGGUAAAAUGCGCAGAUAUCAGGAGGAACACCUACGGCGAAGGCAGCUCGCUGGGACGGUACUGACGCUGAGACGCGAAAAGCGUGGGGGAGCAAACAGGG
rnacentral:rRNA from 1 species